AGGAGUAGAAAGAUACUUGAAAUAAUUAUCUGAUGUAAGAAUAAGAAAAUAUUCAUAAAUUAUACAUUUUUUAAAAUUGAGGGGAGGGGGGAAUCUGCUUAUUAUAGCAAUGUGAAUGAUGAUACUGAGUUAGUCAACCCAGAAAAAUAUAGAAUGUAAAUUACUUGAGGACAAGAACUGUCUUUACUUUUGGACUAGCAUUCUCAACAUUCAGUACAGUAGUUGGCAUUAUAGUAAGCACUUAAUAAAUGUGUUUUUAUUCAUUCACUUGCUUAAGUGGAAAUCAGUAGUAUGAGGAAAGGCUAGAAAGCUCAAUGGUUCUCGAUGGUAUAGGCCUUGAGUAAUGUCACAAAGAAUUGUUAGCACACAGAAUACAAAAAAGCUAUCAGAACUGGAAAGGAAUUAGAAUGUAGAAUGUCAGAGCAAGAAGGUUCUUAAGAGCAUGGAAGGUUAGACAUAGAGUGGACCUCACCUGUCCAAGCAUCUUAUCUACCAGGUGGAACCAGAGCCCAUGUUAUUCAACUCCCUGCCCAAGAUGCUUUACCACACCAUACGACCGACCUCCUUCCUUCCAGGGUGACCAUUUAAGAUGGCAAUAAAAGAACAAGAUUUCAUAAGGCCAAGUCAAUCGUAUGAACUACACCAAGAAAAACAAACUAUGAGCUGAAUUCUCUUCCAAAGAAGUCCUUCAUGUGCCAUUAAAACAGGAAGAAUCCUUAAGAGCCCAGGGAGGUCAUCUGGAUCAGCAAAACUUCCAACUCCAACACAAAGCGCAGCCGCGGACUAGAGUGAGAAGGAUACAUGCCAACAGGUUCCCGCUCCUCCUCUUAAUUAUCAUCAAGAAAAGGAAUGUGGAGAAGAUGCAAUGAAAAAGGGAAAAAUUAAGAAGAAAAUAAGGGAAAAAAUAGAAGAAAAAAAAGGCUCAUAAGAUUAGUGAGAUUCAGAAAUGAGAGGAACCAUCAUUUCAAGAUGGCAUCUAAGUCAUAUAGAAAGGGCAGCCAGGUUCUGAACCUGAGUUCCCUGACUCUAAAAUGGAACUCGUUUGUCCGCUGUCCUAAAGCUGCCUCCCAAAGUAAAGAUAAAAUAUGAAACAGC